CGCGUCCCGCAGUGUGAGGCCUCACGGAGCCUGCACGGGUGGGCGGGAAACAGUUUCCGGCCCAGGUGAAGGCAGGAUUGGAGCUGAUCUCACUUGAUUCCCAGCCGAAGAAUAACCUGUUUCCGGGCCGGGGAUUUAGCUCAGUGGUUCCGCCGCCUGCCUCACAGGCCCAAGGACCCAAGUUCGAUCCCCGGUAUCAAAAAAAAAAAAAAAAAAGAGUAACGUGUUUCCUCCCCUCCCCUCCGGUAUGAGUGCUGCAAGUUCUGCCUCGGGCGAAGUGUCUGUAAUUCCCACCAAAGACCUGGGGAGUUUCUGAGAUUCGUUCAGUGGCACACUAGUAGCUGAUGAGGAAGACCGGCCGAGACCUGAAACCAUCUAACUCCUACAGGACUUAAUCAAUCAGAUCUACUACCUAAAGUGACAUUUACCAUUCUGUCAGAUGCCUCUGGCAGCUAAAUGUUCCCUUACUGAAGUCUGGACCUUAUAAGAUUACCAGUCAUCCAUGAAAAUAAUGUCAUCUGACCUUAAUAAAAGGUAAAAUGCUCGCUUCCUUAAGUCCUUCCCCGGUGGGCCUGGUUCUUGGCAUCACAGCAUGGCAGAGCAGAGGGACACGUGACUAACAGCUACUAUGGACAGAGUAAGAGCUUUCCUUAAAAAAGUCAGGCAAAAAAAGCCCUCUGUGGAACAUGACAAUGCACAUCAAUCGCCUCAAUGUCAAUUCAUACUUCUGUGGCUUCCAGCAGCAUCAAACAGCCCACACUCCUGCCAAGGCUAGUCCAAUUUAAAACUGAGCAAAUUAUACACUGAGCCAUGCCCAUUAGUUUUUUGUAUCCAUCUCUGACUGUUCAGCACCUUCCCCCUCUUUUCAAAUUUGUGCCCACACACGGGGAAAAACAUUUUUAUCAUUUGAAAGAUUUGAAGAGAACCUUUCAUCUCCUAUUUUUUAAAAACUUAUGUUCAAACAUUUUGAAUGUAAUGUGCAUAAUAUUAAGAUAAAAUAUUACACAAGAAUCAAAGAAAAUAUUAAAGAAAUCGACACUCCCACCAUUGCUGGAAGAGGUGAAUCCAAGUUGGAUGGCCACAUGAUUGGAAUGACCAUUGGCUCUGGAUAUAAAGAAGACAAGUCAACACCC
rnacentral:lncRNA from 1 species